UACAGAGGGGGCAAGCGUUGUUCGGAAUUACUGGGCGUAAAGGGCGCGUAGGCGGCCUGUUAAGUCGAACGUGAAAUCCCCGGGCUCAACCCGGGGAACUGCGUCCGAUACUGGCAGGCUUGAAUUCGGGAGAGGGAUGUGGAAUUCCAGGUGUAGCGGUGAAAUGCGUAGAUAUCUGGAGGAACACCGGUGGCGAAGGCGGCAUCCUGGACCGAUAUUGACGCUGAUGCGCGAAAGCCAGGGGAGCAAACGGG
rnacentral:rRNA from 1 species